UACGGAGGAUGCAAGCGUUAUCCGGAAUGAUUGGGCGUAAAGCGUCCGCAGGUGGCUAUGUAAGUCUGCUGUUAAAGAGUGAGGCUCAACCUCAUAAGAGCAGUGGAAACUACAUAGCUAGAGUGCGUUCGGGGCAGAGGGAAUUCCUGGUGUAGCGGUGAAAUGCGUAGAUAUCAGGAAGAACACCGGUGGCGAAAGCGCUCUGCUAGGCCGCAACUGACACUGAGGGACGAAAGCGUAGGUAGCGAAUGGG
rnacentral:rRNA from 1 species